GCCGGGCAUGGUGGCACAUGCCUGUAAUCCCAGCUACUCAGGAGGCUGAGGCAGGAGAAUCGCUUGAACCCAGGUGCUGGAGGUUGUGGUGAGCCAAGAUUGCGUCACUGCACUCCAGCUUGGGCAACAGAGCGAGCCUCUGUCUCAA
rnacentral:SRP_RNA from 2 species